GACGAACGCUGGCGGCGUGCUUAACACAUGCAAGUCGAGCGGCGCGGCGAACGGGUGAGUAACGCGUGAGUAACUGCCCCCCUCUCUGGGAUAACAGUUGGAAACGGCUGCUAAUACCGGAUAGUGGGGGAUGACUCGCGUCCUAUCAGCUUGUUGGUGGGGUAGUGGCCUACCACGGCGACGACGGGUAGCCGGCCUGAGGGGGCGACCGGCCACAGGGGGCUGGGAGAGGGCCCAAACUCCUACGGGAGGCAGCAGUGGAGAAUAUGGCACAAUGGGGGAAACCCUGAGGCAGAAGCGCCGCGGGCGGGAUGACGGGCUGCGGGUGGUAAACCGCUUUCAGCCAUGACGCGGUAGUGGCAGAAGAAGCACCGGCUAACUACGUGCCAGCAGCCGCGGUAAUAC
rnacentral:rRNA from 1 species